CAACGCUGGCGGCGUGCCUUAUACAUGCAAGUCGUACGCGAACGGGACCUUCGGGUCCCUAGUAGAGUGGCGGACGGGUGAGUAACACGUGAGCAACCUGCCUUGCACACACUGGGAUAGCCAUUGGAAACGAUGAUUAAUACUUGAUAACACAUUUUAAACACAUGUUUUUAAUGUCAAAGAUUUAUCGGUGUAGGAUGGACUCGCGUCUGAUUAGCUAGUUGGUAAGGUAACGGCUUACCAAGGCGACGAUCAGUAGCCGACCUGAGAGGGUGAUCGGCCACACUGGAACUGAGACACGGUCCAGACUCCUACGGGAGGCAGCAGUGGGGAAUAUUGCACAAUGGGCGCAAGCCUGAUGCAGCAACGCCGCGUGAACGAAGAAGGCCUUCGGGUCGUAAAGUUCUUUUCUUAGGGAAGAAAAAAAUGACGGUACCUAAGGAAUAAGCACCGGCUAAAUACGUGCCAGCAGCCGCGGUAAUACGUAUGGUGCAAGCGUUAUCCGGAAUCACUGGGCGUAAAGGGUGCGUAGGUGGUUUUGCAAGUCAUGCAAGUCCGUGGUGAAACCUGAUGGCUCAACUGUCAGCCUGCCGCGGAUACUGCUUUUCUUGAGUGCUGCAGAGGAGGCUGGAAUUCCUGGUGUAGCGGUGAAAUGCGUAGAUAUCAGGAAGAACACCGGUUGCGAAGGCGGGUUUCUGGGCAUGCACUGACGCUGAGGCACGAAAGCUAGGGGAGCAAACAGGAUUAGAUACCCUGGUAGUCCCAGCCGUAAACGAUGAGCACUAGGUGUUGGGGGGGCCGAUCCUCUCAGUGCCGCAGCUAACGCAUUAAGUUCUCCGCCUGGGGAGUACGCUCGCAAGGGUGAAACUCAAAGGAAUUGACGGGGGCCCGCACAAGCGGUGGAGCAUGUGGUUUAAUUCGAUGCAACGCGAAGAACCUUACCUGGUCUUGACAUGUUAGGGACUCUGGCAGAGAUGUCAGAUCGUCAGGUUUCGACCUGGCGUCCUAUCACAGGUGCUGCAUGGCUGUCGUCAGCUCGUGUCGUGAGAUGUUGGGUUAAGUCCCGCAACGAGCGCAACCAUUGCCCCUAGUUGCCAUCAGGUAAUGCUGGGAACUCUAGGGGGACUGCCGGGGUAAGCCGGAGGAAGGUGGGGAUGACGUCAAGUCCUCAUGGCCCUUACGUCCGGGGCUACACACGUGCUACAAUGGCUGGUACAGAGGGCUGCCAACCC
rnacentral:rRNA from 1 species